UGCAGUCGAGCGGUAACAGGAGUAGCUUGCUACUCGCUGACGAGCGGCGGACGGGUGAGUAACGCGUAGGAAUCUGCCUGAUAGUUGGGGAUAGCCCAGGGAAACUUGGAUUAAUACCGAAUACGCUCUACGGAGGAAAGCAGGGGAUCUUCGGACCUUGCGCUAUCAGAUGAGCCUGCGUGAGAUUAGCCGGUUGGUGAGGUAAUGGCUCACCAAGGCGACGAUCUCUAGCUGGUCUGAGAGGAUGAUCAGCCACACUGGGACUGAGACACGGCCCAGACUCCUACGGGAGGCAGCAGUGGGGAAUAUUGCACAAUGGGCGCAAGCCUGAUGCAGCCAUACCGCGUGUGUGAAGAAGGCCUUAGGGUUGUAAAGCACUUUCAGUCGUGAGGAAAGGGGUGUCGUUAAUACCGGCAUCCUGUGACGUUAGCGACAGAAGAAGCACCGGCUAACUCCGUGCCAGCAGCCGCGGUAAUACGGAGGGUGCAAGCGUCAAUCGGAAUUACUGGGCGUAAAGCGCGCGUAGGUGGUUCAGUCAGUCAGAUGUGAAAGCCCCGGGCUCAACCUGGGAACUGCACCUGUUACUGCUGAACUCGAGUACGGUAGAGGGUAGUGGAAUUUCCUGUGUAGCGGUGAAAUGCGUAGAUAUAGGAAGGAACACCAGUGGCGAAGGCGACUACCUGGACCGAUACUGACACUGAGGUGCGAAAGCGUGGGGGAGCAAACAGGAUUAGAUACCCUGGUAGUCCACGCCGUAAACGAUGUCUACUAGCCGUUGGGGGACUUGAUCCUUUAGUGGCGCAGCUAACGCGAUAAGUAGACCGCCUGGGGAGUACGGCCGCAAGGUUAAAACUCAAUGAAUUGACGGGGGCCC
rnacentral:rRNA from 1 species